CUGGGAGCCCUGGGGAAUGUGUCAGCACAAACUAUGGCAGGAAAGCAGAAACCCUGCAGAGAUGCAGCAGCACUGUGAGCACAGCAAAUACCAUCCAGGAGAGGAGCAGGGCCCCAAAAUACGCCAGAGCAGCCUGAGCACUCAGACUUGUGAGGGCUGUCAUGGAUGUGACAGUGAGAGCAGGAGGAGAGGAAGCACAUCAAGUGAGGCGACUGCUCAAGGCUGUCCUGGGCUUUGCAGUGAAGAUGUUCCCCUGUGUCCUGUCUGCAGAGGAGAGCAGCAAUGCCUUCAUAUCUUCCUAAACCCUCUGCUUCAGCUCUGCGUGUGUCCCUUUGCAUUCAUUUCACUAAGCUGCCUAGAAAGAUUCAGCGAA